rnacentral:rRNA from 1 species
UGGCGGCGUGCUUAACACAUGCAAGUCGAACGAUGAAGCCCUUCGGGGUGGAUUAGUGGCGAACGGGUGAGUAACACGUGGGCAAUCUGCCCUUCACUCUGGGACAAGCCCUGGAAACGGGGUCUAAUACCGGAUAACACUCUCCGCCUCCUGGGGGUGGGUGAAAGCUCCGGCGGUGAGGGAUGAGCCGGCGGCCUAGCAGCUUGUUGGUGUGGGAGAUUGCUAGCAAGGACGACGACGGG